rnacentral:lncRNA from 9 species
GCAUAUGGAAGAUCCCAGGCCAGGGACAGAAUCCAAGUCGAGGCUGCAACCUACAUCACAGCUAACACCAGAUACUUAAACCCAUUGCACUGGGCCAGGGAUAGAAUCCAAGCCUCCAAAGCCACUUGAGCCUCUGCAGUCAGACUCUUAAUCCACUACACUACAGCAAGGACUCCUGGCUUUUCCAUUUUAAUAGGAAAUUAAACUCUUCGUUUGCAGCCCUUAAAAUGGGGGAGGGGCAUUUUCCCUUCAGCAUUUUCCUCCCUAGCCAUGCCACCCCCUCCCCACUGCAACCUUGGAACAUUGCAGGCAAAGUAACCCAAGCUUUGUGGAGCAGGAGCUCCUGCCACGUGCCCAUCCACUGUGUUGGUCCCAUUGGAACAACCUGGAGGGCAGGGAUCAUGAUGGGAAACCUGAGGCUCCAAGUGGGAGGUCCCUUGGCCAAGGUCACAAGGCCAUCAAUGGAGGAGCUAGGGCUCAAAUCCCUGUCUGCACAGCAUCAGGGUGCCCUGGGGAGCUUCUCACUAAGCUAAACUAGCUCUCCCCAAAUGGGAACAGGAGAAAGGCAAUCACGGGGUUGAGAAGAAAGCUCCUCUCCCCUUCUAUGGAGCAACUACCACCACCAGGGCAAAGCAACAGUCAUCCAGGAUGGGAUGGAGGGGGUCACAGUGUCCUGGGGAUGGAGAAGGAGUGAGAGUGGCUUUGAUAAGAGCAUAUGGCCCCUGGGGACAGGACAAGAGCUGCCACCAGCUCAGAUGGACUCCCAUGUCCCUUAGUUGCCCAAGGCACCUCAUAGAAAUGGGGACAGCGGCUGCCCGUCUUUAUCCUUCACUGCCCAGCCCUCCUGCCCACCUCCCAUCAAGUUGAACUUGAGCUAUGUACCAUCACUGCAAAUCUUAAACCACGGGAGUCCCCUGCAACUGGCAGCUAGGGGUCCCAUGGCACUUUGCCGUGGUUUCUGUCCCUGGAUGGCUCCGUUUUCCUGAUGUGGCGCACAUGUUUACCAAAGAGCUGUGGUUAAUUAAGUAAGGUACAGAAUCAGAGAGAACAUCCGUGGAGCACCUGCUGCAUGCACUGUGCUGUAACUGACUGCAAUGGGGGUGUCGUGUGCACCGCUGUAAGAGAAGAGGAAAGCCUCACCGCCCCCAAACUGCUAUGGGGGUGGAGCAGGGAGAGAGGUACCUGUCACCUGGGAAGGAAUCAGGUAAAAUUUUGUGAAGGAAGUGUGGCCCUGGAGCUAGGAUGGGAAAGGUGUGUUGGAUCCGAGCUGCACAGAGGUGAGAAGGCAAAGGCAUUCUCUGUGCUAAACCAUGUGCAAAGGGAUGGAGGUAGGUUCCAGUCCUGCCAGUUCUGCCUCCCUCGCACUUCCCGUCUGUGCCCUAAGCCCAGUGCUUCUCAAACUUCAGUCAUUCACGGAAACCUCUCUUGAUUUUUACCAGGUCCAUGUGAGAUCUGUGCUCUUAUUUAUUUCACAUUUUUCCUUAAAUCAACCCACUGCUUUCUAUUUUAUAAAAUUUAUGUCAGGAGGAAUUUUUCUCUCAUAGGAGCAAUUGGAAAAUAGAUUCCAUGUGCUAUAGAUAGAUGACCAUCAUAAAAAUCAGAACACUGAAAGCAAGAUAACAAUGCUCCUGAAACCCAGCCAGGUUCUGCAGCUCAGGGAAGUGCUAAGUCUGCUCUCUCAUUGUUGUUAAAAAGAAGAGAACAGCUUUGGGGUUCCCUGGGGGCCUAUUGGUUAAGGAUCCAGCGUAGUCACUGCUGUGGUGUGGGUUCGAGCCCUGGCCUGGGAACUUUUGCAUAACAUGGGUGUGACCAAAAAAACAAAAACGAAAGAGAGGGACAGAAAGAGAAGAGCUAGUGUUAGGGAGGCAUCAGGGACACCUGAGCACAUGCCUGAGACCUUCUUGAUUAAUGAGGGCUGAGGGAUGCUCUCUCUAAUGCUUUAUCUGUGUCCCCCACUAAUAGGACCCUAGAUACCACUGGUGUCCCCCAUACUUGCAGAAAGUGUCCCAGCCAAAAUCUGAGUCUAACCCCAACCAUUCAUGUGCCGCCACCGUUAUGUGCAGAUGUUGGUCUGUGACUGUGGUUGUUGGAGACCUUGAACUCCAUGGCUGUACCCGGGGCCUGUCACAGUGGGUGAGGACUUCACAUAACAGCAAGAACUACAAUCCGUGUAACAACAGCAAACGCCACCAUUAUAGCGAACAUUUAUAUAGUUCCUAUUGUGCACCAGGCACUCUUCUAAAAAUUGACACAUAUUAAAUUAUUUCAUCCUCACAAAAACAUCCAUGCCAAAGGUGCCAUUACUAUUCCCACUUUACAGAUGAGAAAUCUGAAACACAGAGAGGUUAAAUACCUGCCCAAGAGCAAUCCCAUCUUUUUUUUUGACUGGAUUCCCACAUACAAUCCAUUUAUUUAUUCAGUCUUUCAUCCCGCCAUUUAACAGAUAUGCAUUGAGAACCUUCUAUGUUUCCUUUGAAGCAAUACUUACUUCAUUUUAAAAUCAAACCUGCCGUUUCCAGGAAUUCCCAUUGUGGCGCAGCAGAACCAGUAACCACAAGGUUGUGGGUUUGAUCCCUGGCCUCGCUCAGUGGGUCAAGGAUCGGCAUUGCAGUGAGCUGUGGGGUAGGUUGCAGACGUGGCUCGGAUCCCGAGGUGCUGUGGCUGUGGCGUAGGCCGGCAGCUGUAGCUCCAAUUGGACCCCUAGCCUGGGAACCGCCAUAUGCUGCAGCACGCUCCGCCUGGCCGUGGAGACCCGGGGCUCAAAACCUCUCUUCCCUACACAUCUCCAUGUCAGUCUGCAAGCUCGAGCUGGGGGAGGUGGCGUGGGCAUAUGAGGCAGAAAAAACAACUCUGAAUAAAGCUGUUCCGAUUCCUUCACCCAGCAAGCACGUGCCGGGCCCUUGCUCUGUGGGGGUCCCAAGGCCAAGGGCUGGGGACACAGAGCCCUGAGGCUGAGUUCCACCCUCCUGCAGCUCAAGGACACCCACGUUGCCUAAGUCACCCAUCAUAGUGGUCUUCUAGAAAGUUUUUUCUUAAUUAAGGGUAAUUAAAAUUCCUCCGGUUUCUGAGGAUUUCUUAAAAUUCCUUUAGGGGGGCUUGGGGGGGAGGGUCAGUGAUGGAAUGUGGAGUGAGUACUAGUGUCUGAAUCCAGGGGAGACACCUGAGGUGGUCGGGGGGUGGCCUCCCAGGGCUUGCCCCAAGCGUGGAGCCAUUUCCUCCCCAAAGUCUGAAUUCCCAGCUCUCCAGCCCUGAGCUCUGCACCCUGGCGGAGGACCAGAGGGCACUGGUGUGGGGAAAAGUGCAUGCUCAGCAUUUGGUAGCAGGUCUUGGAAUACAGGCACCAGGACCUCUGCUGAAACAAUGGCAUUUUUCAAUGUGAGGCCUGUAGUUUGUCCUCCCUCUCCCUCUCUCUCCCUUUCCCGCAUUCAUUCAUUCCUGCCACGCUGUGCAUGCUCCCUUCCUCCCACCUCAGAGCCCAUUGUCAUUCUGCUGGCAUUUCAGCCCACUGCAGGCAUAGCGAGGCUCCCUCUUCCAGAUUUCUCUGUCAAAUCGCUUCCAAGGACAAAGCCGUUAGGAGCGAGAUUUGGUAACUAGCUUUUUAAUUUCAUGGCCAGAGGUUGUCAGGACAGUGCAGAGAAAAUUGCCAACGAUUCGGCGAGUGGCCCAUGAAUCUGGGGCAGGGCAGUCGAGAACAAGGGAGCACUUCAGCUGGGGUGGGGAUGUUGGCAGCCGCUCGGAUGAGAAAGUUCUCUUCCUCCAAAUUUCUUUGAUUCCAAUCCCGUGCUAAUUUAAAAGAUCGCUUCAGCAAUUUUUCACUCUCCCUCAAUAAAGUGCUUCAGAUGGCUGAGAAUGGAAAGGAGAAGGGCAACUCCAGGGAGCCUUCUCUAGGGGAAUAAGGACUGGUUGCUCACAGGCUGCUAUAAAAUGGGGGCUGCUAAUUUAAGGGAGAGGUGUCAUACUCCCAAAUUCUUUUUGCAUCCUUGGAUGACAGCAUAAGCAGAUCCCCAGAUGAAGGCACAAUUUCAGAGUGAAAAGAUGUGCAUCCCAACCCCAAGCUCAGCCACAGAGUUGCCAGAGUGGCUGUGUGGCUGUGGGUUGGUGGCCCACCCUCUCUGAACUCUGAAAACGGAGAGGACUGAAUAAAACGACCCCUAAUAUCCUUUCCCGCCUCUGUGCGUCUUUGCCUUUACCAAGCCCAACAGGAAUCUUGUCAUCACCUCAAGUCUGAGGUCUCUGGUCUCUUGAGGAGAAUCUCAGAUGGGUCUGAACUCUAAGGACUGGUCUGUGAUGUCCCUGGAGGUGAGUGACAGAAUGUUAUUUAACCCCAUCACACCAACCAAGAUUCCCCAGCCAGAUAUACUCAGGCAAGUUAACACCAAGAAUAAUGUGGUGAGCUUGCACUGGGGUUUUGUUUUAUGGUUCCCAGAACUCUCUCAAACAUAUUCUCUUUCAAAUACGUUCCUCACAACCACCCUAUAAGUGAGGUUCUAUCACUUGCCCCAUUUUACAGAUAGGGAAAGUGAGGUUCACAUGCCCAAAGGCUGACCAAGACUGAUCAGAGCUCCAGCUCAGCACCCACUGGCUUGUUCUGGCCUCAGAUGGAACUAAGAUCGCUGCUAGAGCAGCAGCUCAUGCAAGGGAAAGAAGUCAGGCACAUCUUGCCAGUUCCUUCCCUCUGGCUCCUAGUCCCCACGCAGCCCCACACUGCCUUCUAACUGGCUGUAUGCAUCCACGCUCUUAGUUGCAUCAUCAUAAACGAACUCUAGGUGAUUUAAAAUGAAAGUGCAUUUACUGAAAGGAUACUAAGCCACUCACAGAUUAGACAGGAAGGCUGGAGAACUAGGCUUAGAAAAUAGGCAAGAGAAAAGGGAGGUCACACAGCCAGAACCACAGCCCAAACCCUAGCGACAGAACAAGCCCAACAAUGUCACUACUGCAGCUGCUGCAAAUGUAGAGCCUGUGGAGCUACCACUGCAGUGUGCUCCCCACUGGCUUUGGCCAUACGCCUACCCCUGAGCUGCAAGGGGGACUGGGAAAGUGGGUGCCUGGCAUUUUCAUUUAUAGGAAGGUCCUGCCUCCCAACAAAUCUCAGGGGGUGGAGGUCACCCACCAAAUAGGAAGGGCAUUGUGAGGUCAGGCAACUAAACAGACAGUAGGUAUAUCUAUUAGUCAGGUUAGGCUAAGUAAUGCUGUGAUAACAAUAAGAAACACUCUACGUUUGAGUGGCUUUAAAACAUCAAAGAUUUAUUUCUUGUUCAUUCUACAGGCCCAUCAGGGGUCAUCUCGGGCUCUGGUCCAGGUCCACCCAGAAACCAGGCUGAUGGAGUAUCCACCAUCAUUGCCCAAUGUCACCAUGGCAGACAGAAAAAGAAAUCUGCAGCAGCCAUGAAAGGCUCUAGUCCAGAAGUGACAUCACUUCUCCUCAUGGCUCACUGGCUGGAACUAGUCAUUGGGCCCUGCUUUGGGGCAGCAGGUACAACUCUGCCUUGGGCCUAGAAGGCAGAGAGCUGGGAAUAUCUGGUGAGUAGAAUUAAUGAGGCCCACAGUCUAUUAUUACACAGAGCUUGCUAACCAGAGCCUUUCCAGAGAGGCAAGAGGAGAAAAAGGCACUGAAAUGGAGGUAGGAGAUCUGAGUUUCAUUCUGAGUUUCAUAGUGGGACCUGUACAUUCCUCUAGCACCCUCGGGGAUGGAGGAAACCCCCAGUUUGGUCACAGAAGGUAGUCCACUCACACUGUGGCAGCAGCAAAUGCUGAGAGCACAGCCCAUCAAUGAAGCACUGAUGGGGCGGAAGUAACCAGAGCCAAGAGCCAAGCCCAGCCUCCUGGAGCUCAGGCAGGCAGGCUGCCUCGUCCUGCUCAUAGGAUCCUUAGCCUUUGCACUGUCUCCCUAGAAAGAUGGGCACUUCGCAGUAGACCUAGGAUCCAUCUGGAAAUAAACUCUCUAUGGGCAGCAGGAGCUGAGCUAUCUGGUGUGUCCGUAGGCCUCUUGGGCCCGUAUUCCGUUUCAGCUGCAGCAAAGUGACAGGCCAGGCUGAGUCCCAGGAAAACACAGGAGAGCGAGGCACCAUGAGUAAGGGUUUGCCUGUACCUGGGAGGGGCCUCACACACCCCAGGUCUGACUGGCUCCCAGGCCUUCCUAAAGCUGUAAUGUUGACACUUCCAAAGGAGUGAGAACAACUAUAGGUACCAUUGUGCCAGAUGACUAACAGACUAAACAUUUAAGCUUCCUUCAAAACCCAGCCCAGGGAAGAGUGCAGGUGUAACUUCUGAGAUGAUGGAUUUCAUAGAUACAGCACAGACCACUAGUUUCCCAACAUAUAUUUGCCACUUCUUCUUAAUAAUAUGAACACCAAUUUUUCACCAGAAGUUGUACCAGAAAGGUCCAACUACACUUCCUAGCCUUCCCCACAGCCCCCUAGGGCCUGGACCUCCUGGAUCAAGAGGUAGAGCUCUCAAAAUGGCAGAGGAGACUGGAAGCCUGAAGGGCAUGGAAGGCCAAAGAAUCAAGGUGCUGAGUUUCACAGGAAAAUCCAUAAACUAAAAGAAUGCAGUAGAGGCAGGAGCUCCAAAGCAGAGGUGACCAUGGAGAAGUUGUGGAAAUUAUGGAGAGGGUCAGGUCUGGCCUUCUGUAGGGCCCUGCAUGACACUGAGGAGCGGGGAUGGUGGGGAAGGAGGGAGCAGUCUUCGCCAGAUCUCAAAGGGCAGGGGCGCCCUAGCCAUCAUCUGUCAUGUGAGAUGACUCCCAUAGCCUCCUCAUCUGUCUCCCUGUGCCCAGCUUCACUGGGUCCAAUCACACUCAGUGCUGUCCCAGAGAAAUCAUCAUCAAUUUUGCAUCUGAUGCUGUUCCCACCCUAUCAAAAACCCAUCGUCUCCACUCCAAGGUCAAGUUCAAACUCUGAAAUGGAAGUAUUCAAGGUCCCGGCUUUUUUCAUCAACUGCAUCUCUUGCUGGUCCCCACACCACCCAAAAUACAUACUCUGCAACCCCACACAACCCACAGGGCUUGCAAACCUUUUCAGAGAAUAUGCACCCACACCUCUUCAAGACUCUGGGCCUUUGCUCAAACUGUACCCUCUGCCUGAGACCCUGAGCUUCUUUCUUCUUGACCUACUUAACCAGGAAAGGUCCUUUAAUGGCAACAGAAAGGAAUUCCGGUGGGUUUAAGCAGUAAAGUAUAUGGAGUGGCUCCCAGAAUCCCUGGGAAGGCCAGAGAUCCAGGUUUGGAAACGACACCCCAAAUCACAACAUUGGACAUUCCAUGGAGAUUCUACUGCCCCAGUGCUGGGGCAGAACAGCAUCAAGCGGUUCUGAUGUUGCCUGUGCAGUACCAGACA